CAUAGCGACUAUCGUGGCAUAUCAAUAAGCGGAGGAAAAGAAACUAACAAGGAUUCCCUUAGUAACGGCGAGUGAAGCGGGAAGAGCUCAGAUUUGAAAUCUUCAAGGGUUCUACCUUGACGAAUUGUAGUUUAUAAGAAGUGUUUUCUGUUAGUAGAGGUGGCUAAAAGUUCUUUGGAAUAGGACAUCAUAGAGGGUGAGAAUCCCGUAUUUGAUCAUUCUUUCUAACGUUGUGAUACACUUUCAACGAGUCGGAUUGUUUGGGAAUGCAGUCCAAAAUGGGUGGUAAAUUUCAUCUAAAGCUAAAUAUUGGCGAGAGACCGAUAGCGAACAAGUACCGUGAGGGAAAGAUGAAAAGAACUUUGAAAAGAGAGUUAAACAGUACGUGAAAUUGUCAAAAGGGAAGCGUUUGACACCAGUGUUGUUUUUCCGAAAAUCAAUUACUGAAUGGUUUGAUUUUAAGAAGUUAUGACUUCAUCGGCUUGCUUCUUUCUUUACGAAACUUUCUUAAUGCACUUUUCGGUUAACAAGUCAACAUCAAUUUCUUUUGUUGUAAAAGGGUAUGAGGAAGGUGGCUUUCUUUUCGGAGAAAGUGUUUAUAGCCUUGUACCUCUGCAAUCGGAGAGAUUGAGGUCUGCAGCGUAGAUCCUUCGGGGUUAGAUACAUUUGUGCUAAGUUAUAGCUUUUCAUAGACAACUUGUUGACUAUGUUAAGUCUUGUAGCUUACUCGCUUAUGCUAUUUUACCUACGCUUAGGAUGUUGACGCGCGUGUGUGCGUG
rnacentral:rRNA from 1 species